rnacentral:rRNA from 1 species
CCUACGGGAGGCAGCAGUGAGGAAUAUUGGUCAAUGGCCGUAAGGCUGAACCAGCCAAGUCGCGUGAAGGAAGACGGAUCUAUGGUUUGUAAACUUCUUUUAUAGGGGAAUAAAGGUAUCCACGUGUGGAUAUUUGCAUGUACCCUAUGAAUAAGCAUCGGCUAACUCCGUGCCAGCAGCCGCGGUAAUACGGAGGAUGCGAGCGUUAUCCGGAUUUAUUGGGUUUAAAGGGUGCGUAGGUUGUUUUUUAAGUCAGCGGUGAAAGUUUGUGGCUCAACCAUAAAAUUGCCGUUGAAACUGGCAGACUUGAGUGUGUUUGAGGUAGGUGGAAUGCGUGGUGUAGCGGUGAAAUGCAUAGAUAUCACGCAGAACUCCGAUUGCGAAGGCAGCUUACUAAGCCAUAACUGACACUGAUGCACGAAAGCGUGGGGAUCAAACAGGAUUAGAUACCCGAGUAGUC